rnacentral:rRNA from 1 species
AUUGAACGCUGGCGGCAGGCCUAACACAUGCAAGUCGAGCGGAUGAAGGGAGCUUGCUCCUGGAUUCAGCGGCGGACGGGUGAGUAAUGCCUAGGAAUCUGCCUGGUAGUGGGGGAUAACGUCCGGAAAGGGGCGCUAAUCCCCCUUACGUCCUGAGGGAGAAAGUGGGGGAUCUUCGGACCUCACGCUAUCAGAUGAGCCUAGGUCGGAUUAGCUAGUUGGUGGGGUAAAGGCCUACCAAGGCGACGAUCCGUAACUGGCCUGAGAGGAUGAUCAGUCACACUGGAACUGAGACACGGUCCAGACUCCUACGGGAGGCAGCAGUGGGGAAUAUUGGACGAAGGGCGAAAUCCUGAUCCAGCCAUGCCGCGUGUGUGAAGAAGGUCUUCGGAUUGUAAAGCACUUUAAGUUGGGAGGAAGGGCAGUAAGUUAAUACCUUGCUGUUUUGACGUUACCAACAGAAUAAGCACCGGCUAACUUCGUG